rnacentral:lncRNA from 1 species
AAAAUCCAAAUUACACAUCAAUCCUUUAAAUCCAAAUACAAAACAACACAACAUACGAAAUCCAAAUACAAAUAACACAACUCUACAUACAAUUUUAAUUUGAUUCAUUUGAAAGCAACUGAUUAGCAAUCUGGUUACGUAAAGAAGUCAUGUAGUCAAUACCUUGUGAACCCCACUCUAUGUCUUGAACUAGCAGGCCAUCAUUUUCCCCACUUUGCAUUUCAUGAAACAUCGUGUUCUCAUCAUAGUCCAUAAAUAACUGAUCAUAAAUAUUGCAUUUCCUUAUAAAAUUAUGGACGGCGAAACAAGCAAUCACAAUGUCUCUUUGUAUUGGAAAAGAAAAGGGAGCCAUUUGCUUUAGGAUUGGGAAUCUCGCCUUUAGAACACCACAUUCCCGGUUUUGUUUUUAAGCUUUAACCAAGCUGCAAAUUUUCCUUUUAGAAAAUCAUAGUGAUUCUUCAUUUGACGUUGUUCCACUAUGAAAUUAUGUUGUGUUUUCAAAUUUUCAGCUACAGUUUUCCAUGACGCUUGUUUAAGACUACUUCCUUCACGUCCAUUAACGGUUAUUUGAUGAACACAUGCUUCAAGAAAGGUUUUUUCAACACCUUCUUGCUUCCAAUUAAUCCUAAUCCUUUUUGCCAUUUCUUUGCCAUUUCAACAUACAACAUAACCACAAUCAAACAUACAACACAAAGAA